rnacentral:pre_miRNA from 1 species
AAUAUAUGGGAUUUUGAAUUUUUGCUUGCAACGUUUGACCACUCGUCUUAUUUAUUUUUUUUAAAAAAAUAUUAUUUAUUUUAUUUGUGACUUACUUUAUUAUCUACAGUACUUUAAGCACAACUUUUUGUUUUUUAUAUUUGCAAAAAAAAAAUUAAAUAAGACGAGUGGUCAAACGUUGCAAUCGAAAACUCA